ACCAAAGGAAAUCCUUAGUACGGCGAGUGACCGGGAAAGCUCAAAUUUGAAAUCUGCCAACAGGCCGAGUUGUAAUUUGUAGAUGGCUACACUGCAUAAUAGUAGAUGCUCAAGUUCUUUGGAAAAAGACAUCAUGGAGGGUGACAAUCCCGUGAGGCAUGUUACUAGGAGCAUAUAGUGGGCUUUCUAAGAGUCGAGUUGUUUGGGAAUGCAGCUCAAAGUGCGUGGUGAAUACCAUGUAAAGCUAAAUAUGGACGAGAGACCGAUAGCGAACAAGUACUGUGAAGGAAAGAUGAAAAGCACUCCGAAAGGAGAGUGAAAUAGUACGUGAAAUUGUUAAAGUGGAAGGGCUUGAGAUCAGAAUUGGUAGUUUGGGUUCCACGUCCUCUUGGGGGCGUGUACUCCCUUUCCACCGGGCCAGCGGGAGUUUCGUCUCUUGGGUAAAAGCAGUGGAAUGUAGCAGCUUGUCUGUAUUAUAGCCUCUGUUCAUACAAGACGUCGAGACUUGUUUUUGUUGGCGUAUGGAUCUCUAGCCACACGUCUGGACCCACGGAACC
rnacentral:rRNA from 1 species